rnacentral:tRNA from 1 species
AGAUAAUAGUAUAAGAUUUUAGUAUGUUUCUUUUUCGAAGAAGAGGUUUUUAUAUCUU